CUGCAGAGAGAGACCUGGCCCAGCUG
rnacentral:misc_RNA from 1 species